GCCUGCAGAGUAGCUUUCUUCCACCUUGCGAGAAGCAUUUUUGUCUGUGUUCUCCACAUCACCGUCCAAGAAUGGCAUGGCAAAAGAGCUGAGAUCGGGGAUGUGCACUCGCAGCAUGAGCUUCUUCUGGCUGGAGCCUCUCCUGCCGCUGCCAGAGGAGUCCUUCUUCUUGGUGUCCAUGGCAGUGCUGCCCAUCCCGUCCCCUCCUCGCUGCGGGCGGCGGGCCCAGAGAGGAUGCCACGAAAGGAAGCAGAUCAGCAGAUCCAGAAAUGAAACUGCUGCGUAACAAUCAGAAAGGGAUCUCCUCUGAUCCUCUAAGAUCACAAAGAUGACCUUCGAAGCUCCAGUCAUGUUUUUAAACUUCUCAUCGCAGCUCUGAGGAGCAGUGACAUGCUUUAAAAAACCUAAGCCAAAAUUCUGCUGCAGUUGUUACUGUUUGGUAGCUUGACUCCCCAUAAAGUCAAGUACUAAUAUCAGCCUGCUUAAGAAUAAAGGAACUGUUCAGACAGUAAGGCAUCA
rnacentral:lncRNA from 1 species